UUUGAUGUGAUUGAGAACUAUUUUUGAAUGCUAUGCUAAACAGAGUAUAGUGAUAUUAUUAUUUUCACAAAUGUAAUAUCAAAGGUGAUUUUCAAUUAUUAAGGUGAACUUUUUCACUAUUUCUGUAGUAUGAUAUUAUUAUCACCCUGGAUUUACUCAUUUCAUUCCAAGUAUGGAUGAUUUUUUUUUUAUAAACGCCCUAAGAAAAUUUCGUACUUAAUAUAAUAAUUUACCAUAUAUUGAAGAAUUGUAAAAAAAAAACCAUAUUUUGAAGAAAAAAAUCAUAGCCGAGAAUCUACCCGCGCUUUUAAAUUGAGGUUUUGAGAAGCCGCGGACCUGGGCGGGAUAUAAAGAAGCUUCCGGCAGAAAGAGGCACCGUCAGGCUCUACUGCUUAUUCGAAUUUGACAGUUCAGAAGUGAUCGAUGGCGUCGAAUCAAGUCGAAGGAGACCCUAGGUUUUUCGUCGCGGUUCACGUAGGUGCGGGAUUCCACUCGCCGUCCAAUGAGAAAGCCCUUAGGUCUGCCAUGAAACGAGCUUGUCUCGCUGGUGCUUCAGUUCUCAAGGGCUCUGGUGGAUGUGUGGAUGCUGUUUCGGCCGCCAUUCAAGUUUUGGAGGAUGAUCCAAGCACCAAUGCUGGCCGAGGCUCCAAUUUGAAUGAAGAAGGUUCGGUAGAAUGUGAUGCCAGUAUCAUGAAUGGUGAUACAGGAACAUUUGGAGCCGUUGGAGCAGUUCCAGGUGUUAAAAACGCAAUCCAGAUUGCGGCUUUACUGGUAAAGGAGCAAAUGACGAAAUCCACUUUGCUAGGUCUAAUACCUCCCAUGUUCUUGGUUGGCGAAGGUGCCCGUGAAUGGGCAAAAUCCAAGGGUAUUGCUUUGCCAGUUACCUUAAAACAGGCUGACGAGUGGCUGGUGACAGAAAGGGCAAAAGCACAAUGGAAAAAAUACAAAGCAAUGAUGAUUGAUGCAAAAUCUAGGACAGAUAAAUCUCCCUUUGAUCCAUGCAGUCCACAAAAUUUAGAAAAAGAAGCUAAACCAUGCUGUCCUUCAGAAAGGGAUGUGCCGGAAGCAGAUUGUGUUAUGGACACUGUUGGUGUUAUCUGUGUGGACACUGAAGGACAUGUAGCAUCUGGGGCCUCAAGUGGGGGUAUUGCCAUGAAGGUCAGAGGACGUGUUGGAUUAGCAGGACUAUAUGGUUCAGGUUGUUGGGCAUCUUCGAAAGGUCCUUUUGGUGCUCCAUGUGUGGUUGGUUGUUGUGUAAGUGGUGCUGGUGAAUAUCUAAUGAAAGGAUUUGCAGCUCGAGAGUGCUGUGUUUCUUCAUCAAUGUUGGUCCUGCCUCAGCUUGCAACAAAGUUUUACGGUCUUUUAUGCAAGAGAGUAACCACAAUGGCACUGACAAAAGUGCUGGAAUUUUACUUGUACAAGCGGACACAGUGGUUUCAGGAAGCUCUCAGAAACUGAAAGCUAUUGAGAUUGCGGCUGCUUAUUCUUCUUUAUCCUUUGGGGUAGGCUAUUUUGGAAGCUCUAUGGAACGCCCCAAGGUUUCAAUCCUAAGGAGUAAAAAUCAGCAAAACAAAACAGGAAUCGAACGUUUUGAAGCGAGAGUUGAUCUUUCUACUGAAAAGCUACUUUGAGUGCAACCUUGACCAAUAUUAAGAGUGGGCGAGGUUUGGUAAAUGUGGAAGCUAACCUAUCACUGAAUUUGGCUAUGGUUGUUUUUCUCAAGACUCAAUACAAGUUACCAAUGAUUUUCAUGCUGAAGCACCACACCAGAACUGAUGCCUAUCAAAUGAUUGGAUCAAAUUAGUUGUACGUCAUGACAUGAACUUCACCCGUUUCAUCUGUAACUUUUAAGUAAAAACCAUGUAAAUGUUAUACUGACGAUUGAGUAAAUUGAAUGUUGGUUUACGAAUGAAUUAAACUAAGAAGAAAUUCCCUUA